UACGAGGGGGGCGAGCGUUGUUCGGAAUUAUUGGGCGUAAAGGGUGCGUAGGCGGUUUGGUAAGUCUUGUGUGAAAUCUCCAGGCUCAACUUGGAGUCUGCACGAGAAACUGCCGGGCUUGAGUGUGGGAGAGGUGAGUGGAAUUCCCGGUGUAGCGGUGAAAUGCGUAGAUAUCGGGAGGAACAUCAGUGGCGAAAGCGACUGCCUGGCCCAAGACUGACGCUCAUGUGCGAAAGCGUGGGGAGCAAACAGG
rnacentral:rRNA from 1 species